GACGAACGCUGGCGGCGUGCUUAACACAUGCAAGUCGAACGGGUCUGCCCUGUUUUUUGCGGGGUGGGUCAGUGGCGAACGGGUGAGUAACACGUGAGUAACCUGCCCCUCACUUCUGGAUAACCGCUUGAAAGGGUGGCUAAUACGGGGUGUUCUGGCUGUGCCGCAUGGUGUGGCUGGGAAAGAUUCACUUUUGUGGUGUUUUGGUGGGGGAUGGGCUCGCGGCCUAUCAGCUUGUUGGUGGGGUGAUGGCCUGCCAAGGCUUUGACGGGUAGCCGGCCUGGGAGGGUGGGCGGUCACACUGGGACUGCGAUACGGCCCAGACUCCUGCGGGAGGCAGCAGUGGGGGGUAUUGCACAAUGGGCGGAAGCCUGAUGCAGCGACGUCGCGUGAGGGAUGGAGGCCUUCGGGUUGUGAACCUCUUUCGCCGGUGAAGAAGGUCCUGCUCUUUGUGGUGGGGUUGACGGUAGCCGGGUUAUGAAGCGCCGGCUAACUACGUG
rnacentral:rRNA from 1 species